ACUCGCAAAGUGUAAUAGUGUGUGUUCUGCGCAUAAACGAACUCGUGGAAACGAGAACGAAAGACGAAUAAGCAAAACGAAAAAUCAACGAACAUACAAGUGUGAAAGAAAGCUUUGCAGCAAAAAUGUAGACAAGCUGGAUUGUCAACAUCAGGAAAUCGAGAACAAUUACAGAGAAAACUAACCGCGAUCUGUAGUGACGACGAAUACGCCAGUGCGGAAAAUCAAUCAAUGGCUAAAAAGAUAAACGAAUUAGAAAAAACGAUUAGAGUAUUGCAGGAGCGUUCAUUCCAACCUGCAAUGAUUUCGUCACCAAUUAAGCUUAGUGACGUAAACGUACAAGAAGUUUCUGGAGAAAGAAACGUGCAUUUGACAAAUGAACGAACAAACGUAACGUAUUUGCCAAACAAUAACAAUGCUACGUAUCAGCAGUACGAUAGUGUGGCUACGAUUCAGCAACUCGGUAACACUGCUACGACUCAGCAGUUCAGUAAUGUUGCUACGUUUCAGCAACUCGGUAACACUGCCACGUCUCAGCAGAUCAUGUCGAUACUUCGCAACAACUCGGCUAUGCAGCUCUCAGCAGCACGCUUACUUUGCUAUGUCUCGGCAACCCAAUUACAUUGUUACAUCGCAACACGGCUAUAUGGUUACGCCUCACCAACACGUACCCUUCGCUCCGACUCAUCAAAGUGGUAACAUUGCUACGACCCAGCAGUACAAUAACGUCGUUACAUCACAGCAAGAUAAUUAUGUUACAACGUCACGGAAUUACCUAAGCAAAAGUAGGUAAAACACAAAUGUAGCUCUUGUUCCUGAAUUUAAUCCAUCGUCCGUAAAAUCAUUGGAUUCGCAUCAGUUUGUUAAACGUGUGGAAACUCUGAAAAACGCUUAUAAAUGGGACGACAGAAAGAUAAUUUUUACUGUUCACCAAAAGAUGCACGGUGCAGCUCGUUACUGGGUGGAUGCAACGACUUCGCAUGUAUCAGCAACGCAGCUGAUGUUCAUUUAAAAAUUUUGAAAACCAUCGGGAAACAAAGGAAGCUAUUGGUAAAAAGGUUAACGGAAACGAAACAAACGCAUUCGUCGUUCCAGGUAGUACACUUACUCUGAUUCGAAAAUCAUUUGCAGAAAACGUAGGCGUUUUGUAACGAUGUGCAAUAACCCUGAAUGGAUUUGGAGGAGAAACAUUUUUCUGUAACCAAAAACUAAAUGCGAAAGUCGUUGUUGACAAGAUAGGUUGAAAUUCUUGUAGUGGAAAAUGACUUAAUAUCUGAAAAAGUUUUAUUGGGUAAGGAUAUUCUUUGUCGAGAUGGCAAUAAACUAAUUAUUCACGGAAACAAAUGUUUUAUCGAAAACAUACGCCAAAUAGAAACGACUCAAAAUCGAGCGGAUACGGAAAACGAAAAAUUGGAAAAAGUCUUAACAGAUAAUGCUGCUUGUUUCUUGCACAAGACCAACGAAUUAGGUAAACGUUCAAUAUCGAAAAUGAAAAUCGUUUUAACAUCAAACGUCCCAUGUUAUACGAAACCAUACCGAACACCGUUUGCGCUCAGACCUAUUGUUACGAAUUUCAUAUCUGAAUUAUUGUAAAACGUCAUUCGACAUUCGUCCUUCGGAUUCGACGUACGCCUCGGGAAUCGUCAUCGUAGAUAAAAAGAAUGGAGAACAUCGUCUUUGCGUCGACUAUCGUCGCCAAGUAUUAACAGUAUUACGGUCAAAAUUCCAUUUCCUAUGCCAAACAUGGAAGAGCAAUUCGCUCAACUAGCU